CCUACGGGUGGCAGCAGUGAGGAAUAUUGGUCAAUGGGCGAGAGCCUGAACCAGCCAAGUCGCGUGAGGGAGUACUGCCCUAUGGGUUGUAAACCUCUUUUGUCGGGGAGCAAAAGCCGGACGUGUCCGGCUGUGAGAGUACCCGAAGAAAAAGCAUCGGCUAACUCCGUGCCAGCAGCCGCGGUAAUACGGAGGAUGCGAGCGUGAUCCGGAUUUGUUGGGUUUAAAGGGUGCGCAGGCGGAUUUUUAAGUCAGCGGUCAAAUCGUGGGGUCCAACCCCAUCCAGCCGUUGAAACUGGGGGUCUAGAGUGUGCUAGAGGGAUGCGGAAUGCGUGGUGUAGCGGUGAAAUGCAUAGAGAUCACGCAGAACCCCGAUUGCGAAGGCAGCAUACCGGUGAACAACUGACGCUCAGGCACGAAAGCGUGGGUAGCGAACAGGAUUAGAUACCCCAGUAGUC
rnacentral:rRNA from 1 species